GGAGCCUCCACUCUCAUUAUUCUAUUGAGAUCCAUGGAAUUAGGAAUUCCCAUCCUCAGUUUCUUCUUGGAGGUACAGAGCAGUAGCAUUCCAUGAAGGAGGAACUUCAAAAGAGAUUGUGUAAUUCAAAGUGUGCCGGACCAGUCAAAGAAUCCUGCGUCAAAAUCAAGAGAAUGAACAAGCCUUCAUCGCCAUGGCACAUUUAUAUAAAAAGAAAGGGAGAGAAGUUGGGGGAAGUCAGGGACCCCAAACAGAGGGACUGGCUGAAGCCAUGGCAGAAGAACGUGGAUUGUGAAGAUUUCAUGGACAUUUAUUAGUUCCCCAAAUUAAUACUUUUAUAAUUUCUUAUGCCUGUCUUUACUGCAAUCUCUAAACAAAAAUUGUGAAGAUUUCAUGGACACUUAUCACCUCCCCAAUCAAUACCCUUGUGAUUUCCUAGGCCUGUCUUUACUUUAAUCUCUUAAUCCUGUCAUCUUAUAAGCUAAGGAGGAUGUAUGUUGUCUCAGGACCAUGUGAUAAUUGC
rnacentral:lncRNA from 10 species